AGCUGAAGAAUGCAAGGAAAAAGGCAAAAGAAAUAUCGACGAGGAACGACCGCAGACACUUGAAAGAGACAACACUGGAGCUUCAGUACCGAAGAGACAUCUGCUUACAGGCCCGUGAGCUGGGAUGCGAAGUGGAACAACAGAAAUGAAACCACGUGAAUUCAAGACAGCAAAGCUUAACAUAAUUUAACGUUCGCCUGCUUUAUUAAAUCAUUAAAUUGAAGAUAGAUUGUUGUUGUAAAAUAAACUUUUUAAAUCCAAAAGAGAUUGUGUCCUUAUGAUAAACAUACAUCGGUUACAAUGUGUGAAAAUAAAAUCUGUGGAUGAUGUGA